rnacentral:rRNA from 1 species
AUUGAACGCUGGCGGCAGGCCUAACACAUGCAAGUCGAACGAGUGGCGGACGGGUGAGUAAUAUCUGGGAAACUGCCUGAUGGAGGGGGAUAACUACUGGAAACGGUAGCUAAUACCGCAUACCAUCAGAUGUGCCCAGAUGGGAUUAGCUUGUUGGUGGGGUAACGGCUCCCCAAGGCGACGAUCCCUAGCUGGUCUGAGAGGAUGACCAGCCACACUGGAACUGAGACACGGUCCAGACUCCUACGGGAGGCAGCAGUGUGGAAUAUUGGACAAUGGGCGAAAGCCUGAUCCAGCCAUGCCGCGUGUAUGAUGAAGGCCUUCGGGUUGUAAAGUACUUUCGGCGGGGAAGCGUUACCCGCAGAAGAAGCACCGGCUAACUCCGUGCCAGCAGCCGCGGUAAUAC